GCCUCUGUAGCUCAAUGGAAGAGCAGUUCCGUCCUAAGGAAAGGGUUGGGGGUUCGAGUCCCUCCAGGGGCACCC
rnacentral:tRNA from 26 species